GGCAAACGAGUGAGUAACACGUAGGAAUCUCCUUUAAGUGAGGCAUAGCCAGUCGAAAGAUUGGGUAAUUCCCCAUGUGGUCGCAAGACUAAAGCCGUAAGGCGCUUAAAGCGGAGCCUGCGUCCCAUCAGGUAGUUGGUAGGGUAAUGGCCUACCAAGCCAUAGACGGGUAGCUGGUCUGAGAGGACGAUCAGCCACGCUGGGACUGAGACACGGCCCAGACACCUACGGGUGGCAGCAGUCAGGAAUUUUCGGCAAUGGGCGCAAGCCUGACCGAGCGAUGCCGCGUGCAGGAUGACGGCCUUAGGGUUGUAAACUGCUUUUGUUGUCUACUAAGAACUGAAGAGACUUCGAAUAAGAGGUUGCUAACUCCGUGCCAGCAGCAGCGGUAAUACGGAGACCUCAAGCGUUAUCCGGAAUCAUUGGGCGUAAAGCGUUCCGAUCGGUGGUUUGGUAAGUCUAUUGUGAAAGACCGGAGCUCAACUCCGUGUUAGCAAUAGAUACUAUCAAACUUGAAGAGUAAAGAGGUGGCUGGAACUCUGCAAGUAGCGGUGAAAUGCGUUGAUAUGCAGGGGAACACCAAAAGCGAAGGCAGGCCACUGGGUACUUCUUGACACUGCUAGGACGAAAGCGUGGGUAGCGAAUGGGAUUAGAUACCCCAGUAGUCCACGCCCUAAACGAUGAGUGCUAGGUUUUGGGAGAAUUCGACCUCUCUCGGAGCCGCAAGCUAACGCCUUAAGCACUCCGCCUGGGGACUACGGCCGCAAGGCUAAAACUCAAAGGAAUUGACGG
rnacentral:rRNA from 1 species